GCGCCCAUAGCUCAGCUGGAUAGAGUACUGCCCUCCGAAGGCAGGGGUCGUGCGUUCGAAUCGCGCUGGGCGCGCCA
rnacentral:tRNA from 7 species